rnacentral:lncRNA from 1 species
UGCCUUUGAACUCUUCAUCUCGCAAACUCUCUUUAGCCUCUCUGAAACCUUAGUCAUCUCCUACCUUAUUCUACCACAAUUCCACCGGAAUCCAUGGCGUUCCAGGACAUGGAUGACCUGUACUCACCCUUUCUCACCAUUAGACCUAAUCUAUUCGAGGAUUUGAAGCCCCACUCUUAUGGUUCUCUUAAGAUCUUUCUCAUAUCUGUAGAUCUAUGGCCUCUCCGGCCAUUAUUCUGUUGUAUUCAAGCAAUAUGAGUCUUUUCGACUCAGGAUCGGACUUUCCUUAAGAUCUUUCUCAUUUCUAGGGUUUUCUCUGCAACUCUAAGUCGUGUGAGAUUCUGUGCUUUCUUAUUUCUUUUAUAUCUGUGACAUGCUUGAGCGUUACUUGACAUUUUAAAGUUUUUCCCCAAAUUUCCUUUUCAAAAUCGUCCAAAUUCGAUUUUAGAGUUUCUGAAAAUGUUUCUUCAAUUAUUUUUCUGAUUCUUCCAGUUCUUUCUUUAUGUGUGUUUUACUUGUAUGUUUUCUUCUUAUUACGUAUGAGUUUUCUCUCUCGUUUCUUCUCUAUUAUGCAAUACUUUUCUAUCUUUUGCUAUUAAUCUUAUGCUCGCAUAUUAAUUUGUGUUGUCUUCCUUACUCUUUUCUAUAUGUGUUUAUUGUUGAAUUCUGUGAUUUUUUUUCACUUUACUGAAUCCUGUCCAUAUUCCUGUUAAGCAUAUUUUUUUCUCUGCUUUUAUUUAAAACUCGUAUCAUCACUUUCUUCUGAACUUGUUUAAAUCCGAGUUUUCUCAAACAUGGUCUCAUGUCCUUGAAUCAGUGAGCUUUCUAUUGUGUAUGUUUGUCUCUCCUAAGUCAUUGAAAAAGACUUCUGAGCCUCUUUCAAUGACCUAAUUUUCUCUGCUCUAACUCUAUUCGAAUUCCUAAGAUUUGGGGUUUCUUUGGCAAGUGGUACUAGGGUUCCACUUUGGGACCCUAGGCUUUCAGACUCACUAUGAGACUGUAAUUGAACUUGGAUCACUUUUGCUUGAGACUAUGAGACUUUCAGUGUUAACUUUUUUUCUAAGUAACCUAACAAUUCUUUUGUUUGAUCCGUGUGCUUUAUAUAUGAGAAAUUUCUCUUUCAAAGGUUUUCACUAACCAAGUGACUGAUUCUGAAAUCCCUUUAAUAAGGCUAAUGAUUUUUCACUGAAUUUUUCUUAGAUUGAACCUCCUUUACCUUUCUUGACUUUGUUCAUUCAAAUUGAACUCGUAAUUUUUGGUUUCAUGGCUUUUUAAUUGAUUCCCUUACCAUAUUUGGCACAAACUGUGUACCAUCAAUAGUUUUCCUUAAAUAAGUUCUAUGUACUUACCCUUUUUGUGCUACUUUGAACGGUUUUAAUUAGAAAUCACUUUCCUUAAUUAAUUUCUACCCAUUGGAAUCAGAAUCCUUUAACCAAAGGGAGACUGAUUUCAAUGAUAUUUCCUUGCCUUUCUUAUUUAUUUCUCAUUGCUAUAAAAGGGUAUGCCCUUCUGCACAUUUAGAACAUCCACACUUCAAGUUCAAUACCUUAGAACUACAAACUUACACUUUACGAUUUUCAUCUUCACACCACCUUCACUCCUAGUCUUCCAAUUCAGUACUUGCAAAUACUGUUUUGAAUUCAACACUCUACUUUGCUUGAGACCUUUUGGAACUUCUUUGCUUGCAACUUGGAUUUUCAAAGACUACUGUUUUCUUACUUGUUUUCUCUUGAAACUGGUAUGUUUUUAAUUUAAUUUUCUACCUCACCCCUAUGUGUUUACUUUAUAGUUCCAGCUUUCUUGUUCAAUUUACUGUUCAUGUUCAAUGAUUAUGCUAAUUAUGUGGUUUCCUUACAUUUGUUUCUAUUGUGAAUCCCUACACCUAUUCCCUCAUAUAUGAUUGAGUUAAGGUUCUUGGCCUGGUAAUAUCCUAAUUACUGCCUAGGCCAUAACCUGAUCCACAACGGAUCCUAACUCCUAAUUUGGCUAACAGGCUGGUUAGGGGUGUGCCAGAAUUCCCAAUUCUUGGGCAUGACCACCAACUUGUCAUGACCCUCCCUGAUUCACUUUUAUGCACUUACACUUAUUCUUAGACUCUUAAGUUCUGCCCCCUCUUAUGAGCCUUGCUUUGGGACCUUGAAUUCCCUCUGAACUUGGACAUCUGAGGGCUGGCAUUUACACACUGCACUAUGAUCUUAAUUCUGCAAUAUGUUUGGGGUGUAAACAUUGAUCGAAGCCCUUGAAACUCUUGGGAACUUUGACACAUCCCAAAUGUG